CAAGCGGUGGAGUAUGUGGUUAAUUCGAUGCAACGCGAAGAACCUUACCUGGUCUUGACAUCCCGGAGACCCUUAGGAAACUAGGGGUGCUUCCAUCUGGAAGAAUCUGGAGACAGGUGCUGCAUGGCUGUCGUCAGCUCGUGUCGUGAGAUGUUGGGUUAAGUCCCGCAACGAGCGCAACCCUUGCCUUUAGUUGCCAGCAGUUCGGCUGGGCACUCUAAAGGGACUGCCGGUGUUAAACCGGAGGAAGGUGGGGGAUGACGUCAAGUCCUCAUGGCCUUUAUGACCAGGGCUACACACGUACUACAAUGGCCGAUACAAAGGGCAGCGACACUGCGAGGUGAAGCCAAUCCCGUAAAAUCGGUCUCAGUCCGGAUUGGAGUCUGCAACUCGACUCCAUGAAGUUGGAAUCGCUAGUAAUCGUGGAUCAGCAUGCCACGGUGAAUACGUUCCCGGGCCUU
rnacentral:rRNA from 1 species